UAGCAGCUGACCUUGACAGGUGAAGGGAUGAUGGCAGAGUGGCUGAGGCCCCAACAGAUAUGGAGGCAGCAAAUUCAUAACAGCACCCAGUGUGGAUGGCUGGCUUGGUUCUCUGUAGGCUCUUUGGGUGCAGGAAUGGGGAAAUGUGACAAAUGGCCACCCCUAGCCCUGAAGAAUCCCUGGUAGAAUGAUCAGAGUGGCUGGACAGAAUGUCAGGUCCCACCUAUCCAUCAUGCAAUACCCAGUGUCACUGUUGAGUACCACCCCCAGGAUGACUGGGGCUUUUCAGGGGCUCAGAUUAUUUGGAGAUCCUAUGUGUGCUAUCAAAAGGAAUGGGCCUGCAUCCUUGCUGUCCAGGAGCCAGCCAUCUCUGUGAUUGUAGAUGCUGGAGUAUAUAUAGUAGACAGGUUUCCCUACCUUUUGAAUACCUGGCCUGGCUUUACUACCUGAGUUCAGUUCCAGUGGACCAGUGGUAUUCCCUGGCUUCAGGAGGAACCCAGAUGUGGGGCAGGGUGUGGUGUUAAUAUUAUCCAGAUAGAAUGUUGUAACUCUCCCUGGAAAACACAGAUUCACAGGGAGAUUGUCCCCCGUUGGCUAUAGAAACACAUAAGGCCACAUCAUGGAAUCUUUGUAACCUUUUGAAGAAGUUUGGGCUUGGUCCUGGGUGCAUUAUGGGGGCACAAGAGUGUCCUCACACCUAUGUUCUGCAGUUCUUUGGUCAUUAAUGACUCAUUUGGUUCAUGUUGACUCAUUCAUUCAUUGCCAAACUGAAGCCCCUCAGCCAGGCUUGCCUGUGAGUCUUUUUUUCAUGUGUCAGAUACAGGGUAUACCCACUGCUGGCCCAGAGGAGAAGAGGUUCUCAGUUUCUGGAACAGGAACUCAGGGGGGUCUUUGCUCUUCGAUGGUAAAGUGGGCAGACUGUUGAAUGAGACCAGCCAUAGUUACAUAUUGUAGGGCCUUUUGGAAAGGAGCCUGAGAUCCCAACAAUCAUUUCUAGCAUAGCUUCUGUAGGACCUCAUGUUCCUGUAUUUCGUGUGAACUAUUUGAUGGCAGGUUUAGGGAUUCCACCUGUUCAAAGUGGGGGUAGGUGGAGGCAGGAGAUUCCUGAAUGUUCUGGAGCAGAAGUGGGGCGUGAGAGGGUUUGCAGUCCAUAAAUUGUGAGAACUCUGGGUUGGGAGCCCAGCAGCAUGCACCAGGCAGGCCCUCCCCUGGCUGAGCCCCCUUAUUGGUGUGAGAUUGUUUGGUAAACCAGAAACCGCACCCCUGCUGCUGCAAAGCCACUUUCUAAGCCUGCUCUGAUCUCACUGGAAAACGACACUUUACAUUUUAUUGUCUGUUAUAUACUUACGCUCCGUCUCUCCCAUUAGACUGAAGUUCUUUGAGGACAGGAUCCUCAUGUAAUUCCCCAGGGGCUGGUUUCAAGUACACACUCAGGGAUUCUGUGUGCAGUUGUAAAAUUAUUGGUCAUAUCUAUCUAAUCAUUGUCUGAGUAUCAGGUAGAAAAUAGAAAGUCCCAAACUUUCCUCCCCAUUGUACCCCCAUUUCCAGGUGUUUGGUUCCCAGAGGCCAAACAUCUCAGCAGGCUCCUGAUGUGUCCCACUGUAGCACUGAGUAUUGCGGCUUUGGGUGGCUUUGACCGAUGAGCACCCUCUCACUCUGGUGUGUUCUGACCAUCUCCUGGGAGAGCCAUGGUCCUGAUAUCUCACUGAUUGUUUAACCCCUGAGUGCCCCUCGGGCUUUGAAUGGACCACCCCAUGUUGGGAGAUGCUUCUCAUUGGUUGGAUGGGUCUUCCCAGCCCUUCCCCAGAACCUCCUUCCUCACACUUCUGUAUUUUUUCCAGGACAUGGAUCAGAGCUUCUGUUUGCUGGUCAUUCCGUGAUCCUCACACAAUAUAAAUGAAAGCUGCUAAAACCAAUAAAUUCAAACCAUGUGUGGGGCACUGGGAGGAGCCAGGACGUCAGAGGGCCGCAGUGUGAGGUGGCGUCAGCUCUGACGGCACCCGAGCUGAUUUGUAUAUGAGAAAAGUAAAUAUCCAAAGCCAUAAACAGCCCUGGGUCUCCCUCCUUGCUGUGAUUCAAAGGCAUUUAAUAGGAACACACACUCUCUGUUUCUUGUAAACAGAGGGAGAUUUUUCUGUGUGUGCUGACCUAAAUUCUACAUUUUCAUCUCUGGGGAAGACAGCCAGCCAUCCUGGUCAGAGACUCUAGACAGUCUGGGCAGUCGGGUUGGGUUCCUUGCUUCUGGUUUUGGCAGUUGGCCUAGCACUUUUGCUUUGCAUAGGGCUACCUUGCUGUCUCUCCUUGGCCUCAGAGCAAUCCUGGGUGGUUCUCUUAGUCAGUUUGUACUGCUGUAAUAAAAUAUCAUAGACUGAGUAGCUUAUUUACAAACAACAGAAAUUUAUUUCACACAAUUCCUGAGGCUAGGGUGUCCAAGCUCAAAGUGCCAGU
rnacentral:lncRNA from 1 species